rnacentral:rRNA from 1 species
UACGGAGGAUCCAAGCGUUGUCCGGAUUUAUUGGGUUUAAAGGGUGCGUAGGUGGAUAAUUAAGUCAGGGGUGAAAGCCUGCAGCUCAACUGUAGAACUGCCCUUGAAACUGAUUAUCUUGAAUGUGGUUGAGGUAGGCGGAAUGUGUCAUGUAGCGGUGAAAUGCGUAGAGAUCAGGAAGAACAUCGGUGGCGAAGGCGCUCUGCUGGACCAUAACUGACACUCAGGGACGAAAGCUAGGGGAGCGAAUGGG